rnacentral:rRNA from 1 species
UCUAAGAGGUCCAGCCUGCCCAGUGACAAAGUUUACGGCCGCGGUACGCUGACCGUGCAAGGUAGCAUAAUCACUUGUUCUUUAAAUGGGGACUCGUAUCAACGGCAUCACGAGGGCUAUACUGUCUCCUCCUCCUAAUCAGUGAAACUGAUCCCCCCGUGAAGAAGCGGGGAUUUUAGUAUAAGACGAGAAGACCCCAUGGAGCUUUAAGCUCCAUACUUAAUCCGCGCUUAUACAUCAACUAAGCCACAAACAUUUAAGUAUAAGCUUUAGGUUGGGGGGACCGCGGAGAAUAACUCAUCCUCCACGACUGACAGGCAACGCCUUURUCCACGAGCAACACCUCUAAGAAUCAAAUAAAUUGAUGUACAAUGACCCGACAAUUCGACUAACGAACCAAGUUACCCUGGGGAUAACAGCGCAAUCUACUUCAAGAGUCCUUAUCGACAAGUGGGUUUACGACCUCGAUGUUGGAUCAGGGUUCCCCAGUGGUGCAGCCGCUACUAACGGUUCGUUUGUUCAACGAUUAAAACCCUACGUGAUCUGAGUUCAAACCGGGA